rnacentral:rRNA from 1 species
UACGUAGGUGACAAGCGUUGUCCGGAUUUACUGGGCGUAAAGAGCGCGCAGGCGGUCGUUCAAGUCGAGUGUGAAAGCCCCCGGCUCAACUGGGGAGGGUCACUCGAUACUGAUCGACUUGAAGGCAGGAGAGGGAAGCGGAAUUCCCGGUGUAGUGGUGAAAUGCGUAGAGAUCCGGAGGAACCCCAGAGGCGAAGGCGGCGUCCUGGCUCGAACCUGACACUCAGACACGACAGCAUGGGGAGCGAACGGG